CCUACGGGCGCUGCAGUGGGGAAUAUUGGACAAUGGGCGAAAGCCUGAUCCAGCCAUGCCGCGUGUGUGAGGAAGGCCUUCGGGUUGUAAAGCACUUUCAGUGGGGAAGAAAGCCUUGGGGCUAAUACCCUCGAGGAAGGACAUCACCCACAGAAGAAGCACCGGCUAACUCCGUGCCAGCAGCCGCGGUAAUACGGAGGGUGCGAGCGUUAAUCGGAAUUACUGGGCGUAAAGCGCGCGUAGGCGGUCUGAUAAGCCGGUUGUGAAAGCCCCGGGCUCAACCUGGGAACGGCAUCCGGAACUGUCAGGCUAGAGUGCAGGAGAGGAAGGUAGAAUUCCCGGUGUAGCGGUGAAAUGCGUAGAGAUCGGGAGGAAUACCAGUGGCGAAGGCGGCCUUCUGGACUGACACUGACGCUGAGGUGCGAAAGCGUGGGUAGCAAACAGGAUUAGAUACCCUUGUAGUC
rnacentral:rRNA from 1 species